AAGGAUUUAAGUUAAUACAAAACUAACAACCUUCAAAGUUGUCAAUAGAGGAGAGGCUCUAGGCCUUA
rnacentral:tRNA from 1 species